UCCCUGGUGGCUCAGAGGUUAAAGCGUCUGCCUCCAAUGCGGGAGACCUGGGUUCGAUCCCUGGCUCGUGAA
rnacentral:tRNA from 1 species